AUGCUUCACCAUAAGCACCAAAGGAAAUCAAACAGAAUCUUCGUGGAUUUUCUCCAUCGUGUGCAUAUGUUGGUUCUGCCUCAGGGAUCUGUAGACAACUGUAUUCGUAUGCAGAUUCCACCAAUGACCAUCAGUAAUGGCAAUGGAAUUUCCAAGCUUUGGGGACUGCAGGAGAGGCAUUUAAGGUGUAGAAGACAACUCCGACCCCACACUGAUCACGGAUGUUCUGCUUUUAAAGAUGAGUGAGCCAGCCAAGCUGUAAGGCUAAUCACUCUGGGAUAUCCCGUCUCGCUGCAGAAACAAAACAUGGAAAUGAAUCAGUCGAUAAAGGAUUUUCUCCUAUUAACGAUGUUGGCGAUUUUGUCCCAUGGAGGGGAAGUGGACCAUUAAGAUGAAUGUUCAAAAUCUAUAGAGAUCGCAGUUACUCCCUCACCCCCUGCAGCUGGAUGCAAACUUUUGUGUGUGUGAUAAAGAAUGUCAAGCUAAAGUUAAAUGCAUUUUAUCUAAGUAUGGUAAUAAAUC
rnacentral:lncRNA from 1 species